rnacentral:miRNA from 1 species
GCACUAUGUAUAGGUUGAUGAAAAGCAAUUGCGGCUUUUGCCACUAAAAGUAAUGGCAAAACCCACAAUUAUUCUUGCACCAACCUAAUAACUGUGGACCGUGUAGC